rnacentral:rRNA from 1 species
GAUGAACGCUGGCGGCAGGCCUAACACAUGCAAGUCGAGCGGAUGAAGAGAGCUUGCUCUCUGAUUCAGCGGCGGACGGGUGAGUAAUGCCUAGGAAUCUGCCUGGUAGUGGGGGACAACGUUUCGAAAGGAACGCUAAUACCGCAUACGUCCUACGGGAGAAAGUGGGGGAUCUUCGGACCUCACGCUAUCAGAUGAGCCUAGGUACGAUUAGCUAGUUGGUGAGGUAAAGGCUCACCAAGGCGACGAUCGUUAACUGGUCUGAGAGGAUGAUCAGUCACACUGGAACUGAGACACGGGCCAGACUCCUACGGGAGGCAGCAGUGGGGAAUAUUGGACAAUGGGCGAAAGCCUGAUCCAGCCAUGCCGCGUGUGUGAAGAAGGUCUUCGGAUUGUAAAGCACUUUAAGUUGGGAGGAAGGGCAGUAAGUUAAUACCUUGCUGUUUUGACGUUACCGACAGAAUAAGCACCGGCUAACUUCGUGCCAGCAGCCGCCGUAAGAC